rnacentral:rRNA from 1 species
CAGCAGCCGCGGUAAUACGUAGGGUGCAAGCGUUAAUCGGAAUUACUGGGCGUAAAGCGUGCGCAGGCGGUUUGUUAAGACAGAUGUGAAAUCCCCGGGCUCAACCUGGGAACUGCAUUUGUGACUGGCAAGCUAGAGUGUGGCAGAGGGGGGUGGAAUUCCGCGUGUAGCAGUGGAAUGCGUAGACAUGCGGAGGAACGCCGAUGGCGAAGGCAGCCCCCUGGGCCAACACUGACGCUCAUGCACGAAAGCGUGGGGAGCAAACAGGAUUAGAUACCCGGGUAGUCCCUGUCUCUUAUAC